rnacentral:lncRNA from 1 species
AUUUACUCAACCUAAUGAGGGUAAUAUUUUUCUAUCUAAUCUAUUAAUAUAUCACUCUUUUUCUGAAAGUAUUUGUUAAUGAUUAUCUAACUAACAUCUUGUAUGGUGAAUUGUAGAUGAAGAUGAACUUCUUAAGGAAACAAUAUCACAUGCUGAUUCAAAUGUGAUCGAUGGUACAAGUGGAAGCGGAGUCGUGAAACUUUAAUUAAUGGGUCAUGUAAUAUUUAGCAAUUUAGAUUUGUUAAGUAUUUGGGCUGCCUUGUGUCGCUGGAAAUCUUUUAAACCAGCUAGUUUUUUGUGGGAGGAAUGGUGGAAUGAUCAACAUUUAUCCGCUAAAUCUUACGUUGGCUAUUAUGUAUUUUUGUAAGUAUUCAC